rnacentral:tRNA from 1 species
GUGCCCCUAGCUCAAUCGGCAGAGCACCCGUCUCCAAAACGGGAGGGUCCGGGUUCGAGUCCCGGGGGGUACGCCA